rnacentral:rRNA from 1 species
AGCGAACGCUGGCGGCAGGCCUAACACAUGCAAGUCGAACGAACUCUUCGGAGUUAGUGGCGGACGGGUGAGUAACACGUGGGAACGUGCCUUUUGGUUCGGAAUAACUCAGGGAAACUUGUGCUAAUACCGAAUGUGCCCUUCGGGGGAAAGAUUUAUCGCCAUUAGAGCGGCCCGCGUCUGAUUAGCUAGUUGGUGAGGUAACGGCUCACCAAGGCGACGAUCAGUAGCUGGUCUGAGAGGAUGACCAGCCACACUGGGACUGAGACACGGCCCAGACUCCUACGGGAGGCAGCAGUGGGGAAUCUUGCGCAAUGGGCGAAAGCCUGACGCAGCCAUGCCGCGUGAAUGAUGAAGGUAUUAGGAUUGUAAAAUUCUUUCAACGGGGACGAUAAUGACGGUACCCGGAGAAGAAGCCCCGGCUAACUUCGUG